ensembl:lncRNA
UCACGCUCUCUUUCGGCUGCAGGCGAGACACGGAGAAGAUCACACUGGAGAACUGUAAAGUGAUUAAUGCUACUUUUCUUGCUUAAGUAAUACUUAAUGGUUGUAAGACCGAUAACCUAUUCACUACUUUGCAUGCGGAAGAAGUCGGUAUCACAUAGAGACAUUUUCAAAACGAAUUUGUCAGAAUAGCUCAGCUAAUAGUAUUGCCUGAAAAGUUAUCAACUCGGUAGCUGGGACUGUGUUAGGCUAACUGGCUUGGUCAACCAAUGAGUUGCCUCUGAGGAACAAGACUGCGAGACUAACCGGAAGAAGACAGCUUGCUGUUUGAACUGAUACGCGAACUACAGCAUCGCGUGAGCAACUGCAUACACCGAGAGCGCCUGAGCAGGGCUGCAGUGACGGUGCAUGGACCCUCUCUGGGCACGGACAUCCCCAUCAACCUCAAUUGGCCAGCCGAAGUCAGCGAGCUCCGCGCUUUCUCCUCUCCUCUAGUGGUGGUAUCCUUCACUGACUGCUGUGCUCAAUUUUGGGGUGCUGUGUCAGUUGAAUAUUCAGAGGUGGUUGCGGUGUGCUUUUGAGUAGGAGAUUACAGGUGACCCUUGUCGUGGGUGAUUAUGAGUGCUGACCCAAGUCUGGUGUGCAAGACAAGAAAUCAAUGGGCAGCCAUAAAACUCAGCAAACCCCUAUUCCACUGACUGCAGUC